rnacentral:rRNA from 1 species
UUGUGCCUACGGGAGGCAGCAGUGGGGGAUAUUGCACAAUGGGGGGAACCCUGAUGCAGCGACGCCGCGUGGGUGAAGAAGCGCCUCGGCGCGUAAAGCCCUGUCAGCAGGGAAGAAAAUGACGGUACCUGAAGAAGAAGCCCCGGCUAACUACGUGCCAGCAGCCGCGGUAAUACGUAGGGGGCAAGCGUUAUCCGGAUUUAUUGGGUUUAAAGGGUGCGUAGGCGGACUGUCAAGUCAGCGGUAAAAUUGAGAGGCUCAACCUCUUCCCGCCGUUGAAACUGGUGGGCUUGAGUGGAUGAGAA